GAACGACUGCUAAGACUGGAUAGUAGACAAGAAGGCAUCUUCUUGUUUUUAAAGACCUAUUAAUAGGUAUGCUUAGGGAGGAGCUUGCGUCACAUUAGUUAGUUGGUGGGGUAAAGGCCUACCAAGACUAUGAUGUGUAGCCGGGCUGAGAGGUUGAACGGCCACAUUGGGACUGAGACACGGCCCAAACUCCUACGGGAGGCAGCAGUAGGGAAUUUUCGGCAAUGGAGGAAACUCUGACCGAGCAACGCCGCGUGAACGAUGAAGUAUUUCGGUACGUAAAGUUCUUUUAUUAGGGAAGAAUAAAUGAUGGAAAAAUCAUUCUGACGGUACCUAAUGAAUAAGCCCCGGCUAACUAUGUGCCAGCAGCCGCGGUAAUACAUAGGGGGCAAGCGUUAUCCGGAAUUAUUGGGCGUAAAGGGUGCGUAGGCUGUUAAAUAAGUUUAUGGUCUAAGUGCAAUGCUCAACAUUGUGAUGCUAUAAAAACUGUUUAGCUAGAGUAAGAUAGAGGCAAGUGGAAUUCCAUGUGUAGUGGUAAAAUGCGUAAAUAUAUGGAGGAACACCAGUAGCGAAGGCGGCUUGCUGGGUCUUUACUGACGCUGAGGCACGAAAGCGUGGGGAGCAAACAGGAUUAGAUACCCUGGUAGUCCACGCCGUAAACGAUGAGUACUAAACGUUGGGUAAAACCAGUGUUGAAGUUAACACAUUAAGUACUCCGCCUGAGUAGUACGUACGCAAGUAUGAAACUUAAAGGAAUUGACGGGACUCCGCACAAGCGGUGGAUCAUGUUGUUUAAUUCGAAGGUACCCGAAAAACCUCACCAGGUCUUGACAUGCUUCUGCAAAGCUGUAGAAACACAGUGGAAGGUAUCAGUUGCACAGGUGGUGCAUGGUUGUCGUCAGCUCGUGUCGUGAGAUGUUGGGGUUAGUCCCGCAACGAGCGCAACCCUUUAUGUUAGUUUGCAGCACGUAAUGGUGGGGACUUUAGCAGACUGCCAGUGAUAAAUUGGAGAAAGGUGGGGACGACGUCAAAUCAUCACGCCCCUUAUGACCUGGGCUACAAACGUGAUACAAUGGCUGUUACAAAGGGUAGCUGAAACGCAAGUUUUUGGCGAAUCUCAAAAAAACAGUCUCAGUUCGGAUUGAAGUCUGCAACUCGACUUCAUGAAGUUGGAAUCGCUAGUAAUCGCGAAUCAGCAUGUCGCGGUGAAUACGUUCACGGGGUUUGUACACACCGCCCGUCA
rnacentral:rRNA from 1 species